rnacentral:rRNA from 1 species
GCCUGCCCAGUGAUUUUUUUUAACGGCCGCGGUACUUUGACCGUGCAAAGGUAGCAUAAUCAAUUGCCUUAUAAUUGAAGGCUAGUAUGAAAGGUUUAACGAAAGUUAAGCUGUCUUUUUUUAAAUAAAAAGAAAUUAACUUAUAAGUGCAAAGGCUUAUAUGUAACUAAAAGACAAGAAGACCCUAUUGAGCUUAUAAAAAUAUUUAAGAUCAAAGUAUAUAAAAAUUAUAAUCUUUCAGAAUUUUUAGUUGGGGCGACUUAGGAAUAAAUAUAACUUCCUAGUAUUAAAAUUACUUUUAUGUUUUAUCCAAAAAUUUUUGAUUAUCAGAAUUAGUUACCAUAGGGAUAACAGCAUAAUCUUUCUUAGGAGUUCUAAUCGAAAGAAAGGAUUGUGACCUCGAUGUUGGACUAGAAUAUCCUAAAGGUGCAGAAGCUUUUAAGGGU